AGCGGGCCAAGAGCUUUAUUUAGCUGAACUGAAAUCUCACAGACCUGGAACAUGACUCCUAAGCUGGUGUCCUUGCUGCCUAAGAGGACAAAAGCUCGUGAGUGGGCUUGGCCCCUCUGGGAAGACAGCCA
ensembl:misc_RNA